GGCUCGCUGCGCGGCUGUGCGAUGUGGCAACUCGGGGAGCAACACAAGGGCGAAAUUUUUCCGUUCCGCAGCGGACGAGAGUUGUGACAUAUGGCGAAAUUACGCUAAAUGGGGAGUCCUGGUGGGGCUGCCAUGGGAGCAGAUGACACAGCGGCUAUACGGCCUCUGCUCGGACCACUUCAGGGGGAGGGACUACGCCGACCUCGUCGUGGUCGGCUGUGCCAACUGUUGGAGUGGAAGAGCAGUCCCUGGGGGAUCGAUGAAGAUAAGGAAAUCAAGUUAUUAGUGGUUGUCAGUUCUACACGGCCGUAGCGACGCCAAAAGCGGAAAACAUAAUCACCAGAGAACGCAGGCGUCAUCAACCGAUUGAGAAAUGAUACACAAACGUAUCGCAAGUCAGCCAAGUUCAAGAGAUGCCGAAAUAUUACCACGAGGGAAGCACAAGACAAGUUGAUGUCUCAUGUGAGCCCAGAAUUCUACCAAUUCUUGCAGUGCCAGGUGACGCUCCAUUACCGCAAGAGGAAGGGAAGGACAUGGAUAAAUCUUUUCCGGAGCACA